CCACUCCAGGUAAACCAACUCCUCCUACAGGAGGGAAAGAAGAUAAAAGCCCAGGAAACGGUGGACCCGGAGCCCCAGGGAAUCCUCCAUAGCCACCCAUUCUGGCCAUAGGUCCACCAAAAGCUUGUUCAAACCCUUGCCCCAUCAUUGGUUGAUGCAUCAUAUUCAUAGGAGGCCCUGUACCCAUGCCCUGACCAAAAGCACCAUUACCCAUCAAACCUCUUCCCAUCCCGUUAGGCCUAUUCCUCAUUGGACCACCAGGUCCUCUACCACCCGGAGCAUUGCCUCUACCCCAAUU